rnacentral:rRNA from 1 species
CCAGACUCCUACGGGAGGCAGCAGUGGGGAAUAUUGCACAAUGGGGGAAACCCUGAUGCAGCAACGCCGCGUGAGUGAUGACGGCCUUCGGGUUGUAAAGCUCUGUCUUCAGGGACGAUAAUGACGGUACCUGAGGAGGAAGCCACGGCUAACUACGUGCCAGCAGCCGCGGUAAUACGUAGGGGGCAAGCGUUAUCCGGAUUUACUGGGUGUAAAGGGGGCGCAGACGGCGAUGCAAGCCAGGAGUGAAAGCCCGGGGCCCAACCCCGGGACUGCUCUGGAAACUGCGGCGCUGGAGUACGGGAGGGGCAGGCGGAAUUCCUGGUGUAGCGGUGAAAUGCGUAGAUAUUAGGAGGAACACCAGUGGCGAAGGCGGCUUACUGGACUGUAACUGACGUUGAGGCUCGAAAGCGUGGGGAGCAAACAGGAUUAGAUACCCCCGUA